rnacentral:rRNA from 1 species
UACGGAGGGAGCUAGCGUUGUUCGGAAUUACUGGGCGUAAAGCGCACGUAGGCGGCUUUGUAAGUUAGAGGUGAAAGCCCGGAGCUCAACUCCGGAACUGCCUUUAAGACUGCAUCGCUUGAAUCCAGGAGAGGUGAGUGGAAUUCCGAGUGUAGAGGUGAAAUUCGUAGAUAUUCGGAAGAACACCGGUGGCGAAGGCGGAUCUCUGGGCCUUACCUGACGCUGAGGCGCGAAAGCUAGGGGAGCAAACAGG